UACGUAGGUCCCGAGCGUUGUCCGGAUUUAUUGGGCGUAAAGCGAGCGCAGGUGGUUUAAUAAGUCUGAUGUAAAAGGCAGUGGCUCAACCAUUGUGUGCAUUGGAAACUGUUAGACUUGAGUGCAGUAGAGGAAAGUGGAAUUCCAUGUGUAGCGGUGAAAUGCGUAGAUAUAUGGAGGAACACCGGUGGCGAAAGCGGCUCUCUGGACUGUAACUGACACUGAGGCUCGAAAGCGUGGGUAGCAAACAGG
rnacentral:rRNA from 1 species